rnacentral:lncRNA from 1 species
AACAGCAGGGGUUUUUGUGAGUGGUCCUUCUGGGAACAAUGACACUGAAGCGCACGUGCACAAGACGACUCCAUUUUUUUCUUUCAGUGUUUGAACGAAUACAUCGUCACCCGGUUGGAAUAUUAUCGCUAUUUUACGAGAAAAAUAGCAUAAACAUUUAUUUUAAACAGCAUUUGACAUGCUUCGAAGUACGGUAAUGGAAUAUUUUGAAAUUUUUUGUCACGAAAUGUGCCGGCCUGUCACCCUUCGGAUAGUGACUUGAACGCACAAACAAAACGGAGCUAUUUGGAUAUAACUAUGGAUUAUUUCGAACCAAAACAACAUUUGUUGUUGAAGUAGAAGUCCUGGGAGUGCAUUCUUACGAAGAACAGCAAAGGUAUCUCUAGGGUAUCUAUUCUAAACAAACAGAGUGAAGGACAAGGCCGCUGAACACCGUGUGGUACACCUCUGGAAGAACCGUUCUAACAGACAUUCUGAGACCAACCUACUACAACUACUAAGGACAUGGUGACCUUUGGUGGACAACCAGAGACUUCUGAUGAACUACUCUCCAUAGAUGGACUGGUUGAUUUCAACAGAGAGAUGACAAGGACAUACAAGCGUAAAUACAGUUGAAGUUGGAAGUUUACAUACACUUAGGUUGGAGUCAUUAAAACUUGUUUUUCAACCAUAGUUUUGGCAAGUCGGUUAGGACAUCUACUUUGUGCAUGACACAAGUAAUUUUUCCAACAAUUGUUUACAGACAUAUUAUUUCACUUAUAACUCACUGUAUCACAAUUCCAGUGGGUCAGAAGUUUACAUACACUAAGUUGACUGUGCCUUUAAACAGCUUGGAAAAUUCCAGAAAAUUAUAUCAUGGCUUUAGCAGCUUCUGAUAAAUUAUGUCAAUUAGCCUGAGUCAAUUGGAGGUGUACCUGUGGAUGUAUUUCAAGGCCUACCUUCAAAUGCAGUGCCUCUUUGCUUGACAUUAUGGGAAAAUCAAAAGAAAUCAGACAAAAAUUGUAGACCUCCACAAGUCUGUUUCAUCCUUGGGAGCAAUUUUCAAAUGCCUGAAGGUACCACGUUCAUCUGUACAAACAAUAGUACGCAAGUGUAAGCACCAUGGGACCAUGCAGCCGUCAUACCGCUCAGGAAGGAGACGCGUUCUGUCUCCUAGAGAUGAAAGUAC